UCUACCACUAUUAAACAGUACUAGCAGAAGAAGAAGAAGAAGAAGAAGAAGAUGAUGAAGAAUACAAGAAGCGCUGCAGAGGAGCAAGACAUGUCGAAUAAUAAGCCUGAAUGUGAAUUUGCUCAAGCUGACGAGGCCAGUGCCAGAGACUGGGACGAAGAGGAAGGAGACUGGGAGGAAGAUGAGUAGGAAGGCUGGGAUCCUAGCUGAGGAAGAGCGCGUAAAGGCCCUCCGGAAAGAAAGAAAAGAGAUGGCAAAGAGGCAGCUUCAAGAGAUGUCUACCGAAGAGCUGAGAGAAGUCACAGUUGAUCUUUUUGAACGCCAACCAGGGCUGUUGUUUGAUGCCCGGAGGAUGCGUCAGCAGCGACAAGAUUAUACACAUUGCUCGGCAAAACAAAGGAGCCAGAAGAUGACGAGGAAGAGUACCGCCAUGCUGCAUUUAGGCAGUUCUUUUUAUUGGCAACAAGGUGCAUUAGAGAAGUCAAACCCCUUCUUUAUUGCUAGCUGCUGUGUGUGGCGGAUCAGAGACAAGUGGCCUGACUCCUCUGGACAGUAUACUCCUUAUACACCUGGUAAAUAACCGUCUUUCACAUCAGCAAAGUUCCUAAUUUCUUACACACACAACAUGGCUACAUGUGUCUUCAGUAGCAUUAAAGUAGCCAUAUAUAUAUGUAUAUUUUAACCAUUUACUUUAUUUGUAACUCCAAUGCUUGAAAUAUGUUGAUUAAACCUGUUUGCCAAAUCAGUGAUUUUU